GACGAACGCUGGCGGCGUGCCUAAUACAUGCAAGUCGAGCGAAUCAAUAGGAGCUUGCUCCUGUUGAUUAGCGGCGGACGGGUGAGUAACACGUGGGCAACCUGCCUGUAAGACUGGGAUAACACCGGGAAACCGGUGCUAAUACCGGAUAAUCCUUUUCCUCUCAUGAGGGAAAGCUGAAAGUCGGUUUCGGCUGACACUUACAGAUGGGCCCGCGGCGCAUUAGCUAGUUGGUGAGGUAACGGCUCACCAAGGCGACGAUGCGUAGCCGACCUGAGAGGGUGAUCGGCCACACUGGGACGGAGACACGGCCCAGACUCCUACGGGAGGCAGCAGUAGGGAAUCUUCCACAUUGGACGAAAGUCUGAUGGAGCAACGCCGCGUGAGCGAUGAAGGCCUUCGGGUCGUAAAGCUCUGUUGUUAGGGAAGAACAAGUACCGGAGUAACUGCCGGUACCUUGACGGUACCUAACCAGAAAGCCACGGCUAACUACGUGCCAGCAGCCGCCGUAA
rnacentral:rRNA from 1 species